rnacentral:ncRNA from 2 species
AAAUAUUAAACAUCAGCAGGUGCCCCCGUUUUUAACCGGGGGAGAAUAGGGAAUCAGGUGAAAAUCCUGAGCGGUCCCGCCACUGUGAUCGGGGAGCAACCUCCAAUGUUAUAAGCCACUGGCACGGCACUCACUGAUGAGCUGAUACAUGCAAUGGCACUUGUUUUAGCAAUGGAAAUGUAACAACAUGGUUUAACCAUAUCACUGGUGAGUGCUGGCUGGGAAGGCGGCUGGUUGUGAGGAUCCGGAGCCAGGAGACCUGCCUGCUGGUUCUUUCACCG